rnacentral:rRNA from 1 species
AGAAUCAACGCUGGCGGCGUGCCUAACACAUGCAAGUCGAACGAGAAAGUGGAGCAAUCCAUUAGUAAAGUGGCGCACGGGUGAGUAACACGUGACUAACCUACCCUUGAGUGGGGGAUAACCUAGAGAAAUCUGGGCUAAUACCGCAUAAUACCUUCGGGUCAAAGGAGCAAUUCGCUUAAGGAGGGGGUCGCGGCCGAUUAGUUAGUUGGCGGGGUAAUGGCCCACCAAGACGAUGAUCGGUAUCCGGCCUGAGAGGGCGCACGGACACACUGGAACUGAAACACGGUCCAGACUCCUACGGGAGGCAGCAGUGGGGAAUUUGCGCAAUGGGGGAAACCCUGACGCAGCAACGCCGCGUGGAGGAUGAAGCCCCUUGGGGCGUAAACUCCUUUCGAUCGGGACGAUAAUGACGGUACCGAGAGAAGAAGCCCCGGCUAACUUCGUGCCAGCAGCCGC